rnacentral:rRNA from 1 species
UACGGGGGGGGCAAGCGUUGUUCGGAAUUACUGGGCGUAAAGGGCUCGUAGGUGGCCAACUAAGUCAGACGUGAAAUCCCUCGGCUUAACCGGGGAACUGCGUCUGAUACUGGAUGGCUUGAGUUCGGGAGAGGGAUGCGGAAUUCCAGGUGUAGCGGUGAAAUGCGUAGAUAUCUGGAGGAACACCGGUGGCGAAGGCGGCAUCCUGGACCGACACUGACACUGAGGAGCGAAAGCCAGGGGAGACAAACGGG